AUUGAACGCUGGCGGCAUGCCUUACACAUGCGAGUCGAACGGUAACAGGUCUUCGGAUGCUGACGAGUGGCGAACGGGUGAGUAAUGCAUCGGAACGUGCCCAGUAGUGGGGGAUAGCCCGGCGAAAGCCGGAUUAAUACCGCAUACGACCUGAGGGUGAAAGGGGGGGAUCGCAAGACCUCUCGCUAUUGGAGCGGCCGAUGUCAGAUUAGCUAGUUGGUGGGGUAAAGGCCUACCAAGGCAACGAUCUGUAGUUGGUCUGAGAGGACGACCAGCCACACUGGGACUGAGACACGGCCCAGACUCCUACGGGAGGCAGCAGUGGGGAAUUUUGGACAAUGGGCGCAAGCCUGAUCCAGCAAUGCCGCGUGCAGGAAGAAGGCCUUCGGGUUGUAAACUGCUUUUGUCAGGGAAGAAAUCUUCUGGGUUAAUACCUCGGGAGGAUGACGGUACCUGAAGAAUAAGCACCGGCUAACUACGUGCCAGCAGCCGCGGUAAUAC
rnacentral:rRNA from 1 species